rnacentral:tRNA from 1 species
GGGUCGUUAGCUCAGACAGGCAGAGCAGGGGACUCUUAAUCCCAAGGUCGAGAGUUCGAUUCUCUCACGACCCACAA